rnacentral:rRNA from 1 species
AACGAACGCUGGCGGCGUGCUUAACACAUGCAAGUCGAACGGUAAGGCCCUUCGGGGUACACGAGUGGCGAACGGGUGAGUAACACGUGGGUGAUCUGCCCUGCACUUCGGGAUAAGCCUGGGAAACUGGGUCUAAUACCGGAUAGGACUGCUGGCUGCAUGGUUGGGGGUGGAAAGCUUUUGCGGUGUGGGAUGGGACCGCGGCCUAUCAGCUUGUUGGUGGGGUAAUGGCCUACCAAGGCGACGACGGGUAGCCGGCCUGGGAGGGUGACCGGUCACACUGGGACUGAGAUACGGCCCAGACUCCUACGGGAGGCAGCAGUGGGGAAUAUUGCACAAUGGGCGCAAGCCUGAUGCAGCGACGCCGCGUGGGGGAUGACGGCCUUCGGGUUGUAAACCUCUUUCAGCUAUGACGAAGCGCAAGUGACGGUAGUAGCAGAAGAAGGACCGGCCAACUACGUGCCAGCCGCCGCGGUAAUAC